GGUAGAGAAGCCACAAAUGAAAUUCUUGCACCAGGGUUCGAACACUCGUCGUUUUAUUCACGUUCUCUUUUAACCUGGAAUCCAAAUUCUUCGGAUUGUGUUGUUGUCUCUUUAUGAUUGGAUGAAAUAUGACAGACUGUUUGUCCCCCCUUUCUUUGUACGAUGUCGUUUUACAUCACGGACGAGGCUCUCCAUUCUACACAUUACUUGGUUCACUACUACGAUGUCGUUUUGGAUCCGAAGCUGCUAGCGCUUCCUUGCUUCGUCUGUCCCAGCUGGCUCGAAACCUGAGGCGAGUGAAAAAUGGUGGCAGCUCUUCGAAACCGAUUGGCCUCCCAGAUCCUGACCAGGUUCCUCUAUUCACCGAUUCGUCAUACUGGGAGCACAAGCUCGCUCGAAACUGUAGCCUACGAAGAAGUGAGAGCCUAUCCUGACAAACCUUACACUUCAACCGCUGUCAUUAUCCAUGGCUUCUUGGGAUCGGGAAGAAAUUGGAGAUCUUUCUCCCGCAAUCUCGUCGCUGCUCUCUCCAAUUCCUCUCCUUCUUCAAAUUGGAGGACGGUGCUAUUGGAUAUGAGGAAUCAUGGAAAAUCAGCGGACAGAAAACUCAGUCCACCUAAUACUAUGGAUAAUGCGGCCAAAGAUUUGGCUGAUUUGGUAAAGGUCGAAGGCUGGCCUUGGCCUGAAGUUGUUAUUGGCCACUCCAUGGGCGGUAAGGUCGUUAUGCAAUAUGCUGAGAGCUGUAGCCGGGGUGAAUAUGGUGAUAGGGCUUCAUUGCCAAAACAGCUCUGGGUUUUGGAUGCUGUUCCGGGAGAAUUGAACCCUGAAAACAGCCAUGAAGAAGCUAGAGAUGUUUUAUGGACCUUGCAAAGUUUACCGGCUCAAAUCCCAUCUCGGAAGUGGCUUGUGAGUCAUCUGAUGGGACUUGGUUACUCCAAGUCAUUGUCAGAAUGGAUAGGCACCAAUCUCAAGAAAUCUGGUGACCAUGAGACAUGGGCAUUUGAUCUUGAAGGUGCUAAGGAGAUGUUCGAUUCUUACUGGGAGAAGUCCUAUUGGAAUCUAUUGGAGAACCCUCCUCAAGGUAUGGAGAUAGUGAUUGUGCGUGGCGAAAAUAGUGACAGAUGGAGCCAAGAUGCGAUUCAGAGAAUUCAAAAAUUUGCCAGUCGAGGACAAACUGAUUCUCUUGGAAAGGUUUCCCUUUGCGUUCUUCCUAAGGCAGGGCAUUGGGUUCAUGUGGACAACCCAAAGGGACUGCUUGAGAUUGUGGCUCCCAGAUUAGCAUCCUUUUAAGCAUUUUUUCCAGACAUUGGGAAAGCUACCAUUGGAAAUUUUGCGUCCACAUUUGGAGCAAUUGACACUGAUAAAGGGAUGUGAAUCACUUCGUUACGAAGAAAUGGGAUUUGAAUGGCCAAAAAAAAAAAGUCAAAAUAAUCUCGUUCCUGCUUCAAUGCUUGUACCUCGAGGUGUUUGUUAGCAACUUGUUCAAGAGGAAGCUAUUUGUUUCUGUCAUAAUAGAGGGGGAAUUUACGAUGAUUUGAAGUAUUGGUCUAUUGGAGGUGAACAUGCAGUAUUCAUAGGAGACACUAGGCAAUUCAUGUGAGCUUUUGCUGAUAAAGUGAAGUCCAUCUCAGCAUUCAUGAUUGAAGCAUUAGCUUUGAAAAUAGCUCUUUUAUUGGCCAGAGAUCUGAGUUAUGAGAAGGUGACUGUCUAAAGUUGGUGUCUUGCGUUAAUCUUGGCCAAGCUGAUUGAGGGGAAUGGCUUUGCAAAAGUAUUAUUGAAGGCAUUUUGGAUCUCCUGGCAACAAAAGCUAGGUUCUCCCUCUCCUUUGUGUCACGCAAAAGUGAUUGUGCAGCUAAUCUUAUGGCUGCCCUUGCUAUUAAGGAAGUGAGUUCGGUUGGAUGGGUGGAAACACCGUCAUCUCCUUUAUCUCUUGUUCUAGGUGGUGAUGCUGUGAUUUCUGAGGUGAAUUCUUGCCAGAGGGGAGCUGUGCCUAACCGUGAUGGAGUUGGCUAAUUUGCUUCCUGUUUUUUCUGCUGUUUUUUGUCUGUUUUGCUGCUUUAUUUUCUUUGUCUAGCUUUAGCUUUGGUUGGGCUUUGGCCUAUGUUUUUGCCUUUGAAAUAUUGUCGCUGUUCGGCUUUUACCUUCACCUUCGACAAAUAAUUGAAGUACCUUCGGCCAAAAAAAUUAAUAGCAUAGUAGAUGAGGAAAUAUGUUUAAUUUAUGACCUUGAAAUAUCACAUUUUAAAUUUCUUUUUUCUUAAGAA